GAGCCUCCCGAGCCAUGAAGGAUAAAAGUGUUGGGCCUGGGACUGGGGGUCCUGCAUAUGGCAUGACCCUCUGAGGGCGGCGUGUGAGUGAAAUUAUUAAUGCUUUUUUUGAACUGCAUUAACUGGAUUUCACAUGGAUACAGAUUGGAAGGAAAGCAUAUGACAAUCAAAUAGCGUUAAUGCUUUACGAAUUGCCAAGCCUCCUUACUUUUAUCCUUUUUCUACUUUGUGGAAGCCAGCCAGCAAAGCGUCGGUGCAUUUUUUGUACUCUGAAUUUUAAUGUCUUUUGAGUCUUAGUGAUUUUAUUUCAUCAAAUUGAGCUGUUGGAUUUUU
rnacentral:misc_RNA from 1 species